rnacentral:rRNA from 1 species
CAGCAGCCGCGGUAAUACGAAGGGUGCAAGCGUUACUCGGAAUUACUGGGCGUAAAGCGUGCGUAGGUGGUGGUUUAAGUCCGUUGUGAAAGCCCUGGGCUCAACCUGGGAAUUGCAGUGGAUACUGGAUCACUAGAGUGUGGUAGAGGAUAGUGGAAUUUCCGGUGUAGCAGUGAAAUGCGUAGAGAUCGGAAGGAACAUCUGUGGCGAAGGCGGCUUACUGGCUCAUACUGGACGCUGAGGUGCGAAAGCGUGGGGAGCAAACAGGAUUAGAUACCCCCGUAGUCCCUGUCUCUUAUAC